AGAAAAACACAUUUCUCUGAAGAAAAAUCUUUGAAUUCAUGAAGUCAGAAGAGAGAAACUGAAGAGGUGUUUGUUGAGACAGACAAUGGAGCUUCUACCUUUUUCACUUUGUCUUCCAUGUGCAAGACCGAAAAAGAACGUGACGCAUGAUACGAACGGCUGAAUAUUUCGCCACGUGUCUUCCGAAUUAAAAAAAUGGUUCGAUCGUACAGCAUCUCGCUUCAGCCGCGUGACACCUGAUCAUUACCAAAUUACUUAGCGCAAAACAACGCCACGUAACGUCCCCUCAU